rnacentral:rRNA from 1 species
GAUGAACGCUGGCGGCGCGUCUUAAGCAUGCAAGUCGAACGGCAAGAUUGGUGCUUGCACCGAUCCUAGAGUGGCGGACUGGUGAGUAACGCGUGGGUGACGUACCCUAAGGAUGGGGAUAGCUGGUAGAAAUAUCAGAUAAUACCGAAUAUCCUUAUUGUUGUUAGGGGACAGUAAGGAAAGGAGCUUUGGCUUCGCCUAAGGAUCGGCCCGCGUACUAUUAGCUAGUUGGUGAGGUAACGGCUCACCAAGGCGACGAUAGUUAUCCGGCCUAAGAGGGUGAACGGACACAGUGGGACUGAGAUACGGCCCAGACUCCUACGGGAGGCAGCAGCUAAGAAUAUUCCGCAAUGGAGGAAACUCUGACGGAGCGACGCCGCGUGGAUGAUGAAGGCCGGAAGGUUGUAAAAUCCUUUUAAGCAAGAAGAAUAAACUUUACAGGGAAUGGUAGAGUGGUGACGGUAUUGCUUGAAUAAGCAACGGCUAAUUACGUGCCAGCCGCCGCAGUAACAC